rnacentral:rRNA from 1 species
UACGUAGGGACCAAGCGUUGUUCGGAUUUACUGGGCGUAAAGGGCGCGUAGGCGGUCAGCACAAGUCAGUUGUGAAAUCUCCGGGCUUAACUCGGAAAGGUCAACUGAUACUGUGCGACUAGAGUGCGGAAGGGGCAACUGGAAUUCUUGGUGUAGCGGUGAAAUGCGCAGAUAUCAGGAGGAACACCGGUGGCGAAGGCGGGUCUCUGGGCCGAUACUGACGUGAGGAGCGAAAGCGUGGGGAGCGAACAGG